rnacentral:rRNA from 1 species
GUCUAUGGCUAUGCCACUCUGAACAAGCCUGAUGUCUGAUCUCGGAAGCUAAGCAGGGUCAGGCCUGGUUAGUACUUGGAUGGGAGACCACCUAGAAAGACCAGGUGCUGUAGGCA